UACAGAGGGGGCAAGCGUUGUUCGGAAUUACUGGGCGUAAAGGGCGCGUAGGUGGCCUUCUAAGUUGAACGUGAAAUCCCUGGGCUCAACCCAGGAACUGCGUCCAAGACUGGGAGGCUUGAAUCCGGGAGAGGGAUGCGGAAUUCCAGGUGUAGCGGUGAAAUGCGUAGAUAUCUGGAGGAACACCGGUGGCGAAGGCGGGCUACUGGGCCGAUACUGACGCUGAUGCGCGAAAGCCAGGGGAGCAAACGGG
rnacentral:rRNA from 1 species